rnacentral:pre_miRNA from 1 species
GUUUGUCUGUGUGUGGAUGGAGUUAAACACCAGAGAUAUGUGUGUUUACCUGUGUGUGGAUGGUGUUCAGCACCAGGGACAGGCGUGUUUACCU